AUACUUACCUGGCAGUGGAAAUACCAUGAUCAUGAAAGUGUUUUUUCCAGGGUGAGGCUCAUCCAUUGCACGUUGGGUAUGCUGGUCCCUGCGAUUUCCCCAAAUGUGAGAAAAUAAACUACAUAAUUUGUGGUAGUGGGGGACUGCAUUUGUGCUUUCCCCUG
rnacentral:snRNA from 1 species